UACGUAGGGGGCAAGCGUUGUCCGGAUUUAUUGGGCGUAAAGAGCGUGUAGGCGGCCAUACAGGUCAGCUGUGAAAACUCGAGGCUCAACCUCGAGACGUCGGUUGAAACCGUAUGGCUAGAGUCCGGAAGAGGAGAGUGGGAAUUCCCGGUGUAGCGGUGAAAUGCGCAGAUAUCGGGAAGAACACCCGUGGCGAAGGCAGGUCUCUGGGCCGAUACUGACGCUGAGGAGCGAAAGCGUGGGGAGCGAACAGG
rnacentral:rRNA from 1 species